CACGUCAUGAUCAAGGAUGUUCUGUUCUCGAACUCUUUGUUAUGAAGCAACAAUCACCCCCGUUAAUAUGGCGCCGCCCUUAGCCGUACGUACCAGAAGCCACGGCUAACUACGGCCAGCAGCCGUGGUAAUACGUAGGUGGCAAGCGUGUCCGGAACUAUUGGGCGUAAAGGGCUCGCAGGCUGUUUCUUAAGUCUGACGUGAAAGCCCCCGGCUCAACCGGGGAGGGUCAUGGAAACUGGGGAACUUGAGUGCAGAAGAGGAGAGUGGAAUUCCACGUGUAGCGGUGAAAUGUGUAGAGAUGUGGAGGAACACCCAGUGGCGAAGGCGACUCUCUGGUCUGUAACUGAUGCUGAGGAGCGAAAGCGUGGGGAGCGAACAGGAUUAGAUACCCUGGUAGUCCACGCCGUAAACGAUGAGUGCUAAGUGUUAGGGGGUUUCCGCCCCUUAGUGUUGCAGCUAACGCAUUAAGCACUCCGCCUGGGGAGUACGGUCGCAAGACUGAAACUCAAAGGAAUUGACGGGGGCCCGCACAAGCGGUGGAGCAUGUGGUUUAAUUCGAAGCAACGCGAAGAACCUUACCAGGUCUUGACAUCCUCUGACAAUCCUAGAGAUAGGACGUCCCCUUCGGGGGCAGAGUGACAGGUGGUGCAUGGUUGUCGUCAGCUCGUGUCGUGAGAUGUUGGGUUAAGUCCCGCAACGAGCGCAACCCUUGAUCUUAGUUGCCAGCAUUCAGUUGGGCACUCUAAGGUGACUGCCGGUGACAAACCGGAGGAAGGUGGGGAUGACGUCAAAUCAUCAUGCCCCUUAUGACCUGGGCUACACACGUGCUACAAUGGGCAGAACAAAGGGCAGCGAAACCGCGAGGUUAAGCCAAUCCCACAAAUCUGUUCUCAGUUCGGAUCGCAGUCUGCAAACACCGAUAGAGUUCGAGCCUGGCUCAGGGCCUGCACACACCGAUAUAGUUGC
rnacentral:rRNA from 1 species